rnacentral:lncRNA from 1 species
GAAGAUUUUGGAUAUAUUUAGAGGAGAUAAGAGAGAGAGAGAGAGAGAGAGAGAGAGAGAAAGAUGCGAUGUUAGGAAAGAUAUGGGGGAGAGAGAGAGCCGUAUGGCUUGGUAGAGGAGGAAGAAAAGUCACUCACAAUUUCACAUCUUCUUCAUCUUUGAUCAUUCAAUGACCACCAUCUUCAUCUUCUUCCAUUAAAACUCCAAGAAAACUAGUGAGAGAAAGAAGUGGGUUUAGUGAAGGAGGUGGGAUGAGGCUACGGGAGCAUACCAAAGAGAAGACAAGAGGAUUCUAGCAAGUCCUAGCAAGCUUCUAAGCAUCAAGAAGGGAUUUAAGCUCAUCAAGUAAGUCUUAAAACCUUGAACCUUCAUAUUUCUUCCAUUUUAAUGGCUUAGCUUUGUUCUUGAGUUGUUGAGUUGUAAAACUUCUUAAGAACAAUUUUCAGAAGGUAUAUGAAGCCUUAACAUCAUCCAAGUGUAACCAAAACUCACAAAAUCCGAACCUAUGCGUAAAGGAUGGAAAGAUUUACAAAGAACCAUGUUGGAUAGUUUUGGGGACUGAGCUUGAGGACCAUUUGUGCUUUUGAUUUAUUAUAAAAGCUUAGUUUGAUGAUUGUAUGUUAUAGCCCUAUAAGCAUUGAAGAUUUCCUAACUUGAAUGAACCUAAACGGAGUUAAAACGAAUCCGUGGUGAAGAUUUUAGUAAACCAUGUCUAGAAAUGAAAACUGGAUGAACAGUGACUAUAGUGUCCAAUUCUGGAAUUGUUAUGUUACCUGAAAAAUUCUGAGUUUCUGGGUAGUGUAGUGCACUGAGUUAGGAAGCCAUAGGCUUUUCAAUGACCUCAUUCCGACCUCGGAUGAGGGAGUUAUGGUGAUUGGAAGGAAAUGUGUCGAAUCUAUCAAAUUGGAAAUCAGUAGCGGGACGUGCUAUUCGGGACACUGUUUCGAUAAGUUAAUGUUUCUAAAAAAUUCUGGACUUGUAGUAUGAUAUAUUACACUGAAUAAGCUUUCCAUAAACUCCGGAACGGAUUAAUUUCGACUUUGGAGCAAAGAGUUAUGACCAGUCAAAGUAGUUGCGUCAAAACUGUCUAACAAACUUGGGGCAGUCCCCUUGCAUGAAUUUUCUGGAAUUCGGUGUUUAGAAUUUGGAAAAGGUCAAAGAAUAAAAGUUGUGGUCCUGGAAGUUAGCUUCGUGUGGGCUCAAGAAUCGCUCCAAAAUAUUUUGCAACAAAAACGUUACGACUAUUUUACCGAGAGAGGGUAAAGUUGGGAAAAAGGUAAAAACCAUAAUGAACGUACACUUUUGGCUAAAUAAUUGGACUGCUUAAUGAACCUGAAAUGGAAGUUUCAUAUUUUUAAAAAAUGGUCUCAUAUGAUACAAAAAACAUAUCCAAAAAUGGGAUCAAUCCGAUUAACGAACAGUGUGUACGAAAUUCGUAAAAUAGCAGAUUUGGUAUGCGAGCGGCGGAGCGGCAACGCUGCUGGGCAGCAGUGCCCAGCGGCACCGCGCUGCUUGCUGGGCAGCUGCAUGACAUGCUUUUUGACGCGCUGUUUUGAUGGGUUCCGUGAUCCGUUUUCGCGGUUAGGAAUUUUUUUAAAAUACUACACCACAAGCUCUAUAACAUUCCCAAAAUUUCGAUGUUAUAUGACUUAUGAUUUGAAAAUUAAAAAUGGGCGAACAUGUAUGUCAGAACUAAAAUUUGAGUGAACGCCGAGUGUCGGCGUGUCGAGCGACUUUGACGUUCGACGUUCCGAAUCGCAUUCCGACAAAAUAAUAAGUCAUAAUAAAUCUAAUAAAGUCCUACGGGGAGAGAUUUGACUAUAAGUGAUAUUUUAUGCCGAGAAACUUGUUUUUGGGCAUACGGUAUAAUGAAAGCAAUAAAAAUGUGUAAUAAAUAGAAAUUACAUAUUAAAGCGAAAUAAAAACGUUAGUUGCCUAUAAAAUUAUUUUUGGUGCAAUGAAGAAUGUGAAAUCUUUGAAAAAUUGUAUUAAUCAUAAAAAUGAUAUUUUGAGGUUUCUGGGGUUCUAAAUGAAGUUUUUGAGCUGAGAUUUAUGUAACGGAGUAUAUAUAUUUAUUUUUAAUAUAUAUAUAUAAAGCAAAAAUGUAAAUAUUUGUAAAACAAAAAAUAAAGAGAAUGUGCUAGUAGGAUAAAAUAUUUGUAUAUGAGGCAACGGAUCGUGUUGACUCAUGAACGGACAAAAUGAUAUAAAACAAAUAUUUAAAUUAAAGAAAUAAUAUAGUCAAUUGAGUUUUACUAUAAAAGUUAUGUAUUAGCUGUUUAAACCCCAAAUUUGCGAGUAAAGCUAAAAGAUAUUUCUAAAAAUGAAUAUAAAUGGUUUAAGCUUCAAGAUGUAAAAUAUUUGUAUCUUAAAAUUUGUGAGACCUUUAUUAUUUAUGAAACAAGUAAAAUAUUAUUACAUGAUUAAUAAUAUUAGAUAAUGAUUAAAAUAUUAUUAAAUGAUUAAUAAUAUUAGUAAAUGAUUUGAAUAUUAUUAAAUGAUUAAUAAUAUUAGAAGGUGAUUAAAAUAUUAUUAAAUAAUUAAUAAUAUUAUUAAAUGAUUAAGAUAUUACUAUGAAAUUGAGAAGUAAAUAAAAUAUUUUUAAAUGAUUAAUAAUAUUAGACGAGAAUUUAAGAUGAUGGUUAUGUGAUAAUAAUAUUAUCAAAUGACGAUAAUAUUACUAUUGAGUUAAAGAAUUAUUCAAUGUUUGAUUAUGUGGCUAAAUGUUAGCUAAUUUAUUAUUUGAGUAAUAGUGUUGUGACAUAAAAUGUAUUAUGCUAAUUGGAGGAUCGAUCUUAUUAAUGAUAUGUUUUUCAUAAGAGAUUAAAUUAGAUUUCUUAGUGGUAAUCAACGGUACAUGCAAGUUUUCUAACUCAAACUCGAGUUAAUAAUUUUCCAGAAUGCUAGUGGUUUAAUUAUUGACAAUUAUUCCACAUUUAUGAUUAUUGAUUCGCACUUAGUGCACAUUGCAUAUGUUUAUCAAGUAUGAAAGGUUGAUCAUCUUUAUUACCAAAGUUUUUGUUCAUGGUCAUUGUUGACCACUCAACGUUAUUAAUUCAAUCAUCUAUGUAUUGAAAUUUGAUUCAUGCUCUUUCACAAUCAUUAUAUUUAUAAAAACUUGAAAGCUUAUUCUUUCUCUCAAUCAUGAUAUAUCUUUAUUGUAUUUAAACUGGUUGAGCAAAGUAGUUGCUCACCCUUGCUUGAAUAUAUUUAAGUUUAACCCGAAUGCUCAAAGAAGGACAAACGCAAAGGAAAUGAUGGAGAUUAUUUUUAUAUGGACAUUUAUCUAUUAUGAUAACUGACGUAAAUUGAUGAUGUAAACCUUGUGAAUUAUUUAAGGUAUGUAUUAAGAUAAAGGUUGUAGACCUUGGAAAAUGUUACAAAACCAUUGUGUAAUAAACAAAUUAUGUUUAUAAUUCCGCAUUUGUUUAUAGAAUAUGUAUGAAGACGAUGUAUCGUGACACACCAGGUCAGGGAUUCUAGGGACCCGGAUUUGGGGGCGUUGCAGGUUGGUAUCAAAACUGUAGGUUAUAAACCAUAGGUAGGAGUACCUUAAGCUAUAACUGUAGAUAUGAGAAUAAGGAAUAAACUCAAAUAGAGUUGAAGUACUAAUAGAUGAAUUUUGGAAAUUCAUUAUUUAGUAAAGAAGAUUCAAAGAAGAAUCUUAAAGAGCUAUGGAAGAAAAGAAUCCAGAGUUACCUGACUCCAGUAAUAAAGAUGAAAAGUAAUAAUAAAUAGACGAUGUCUAUAAGAGAAAAAGUACAAAUAAAAUCAUAAUAUAAUAUGCUUAAAGAGAAGAAUAAGAAGAUCAUAGAAUAAAAUGAUCGUAAGGAUAAGAAGAAAUAGUUCCAAAAUAAGAUCACGACGUGAUCAGAUUGAAUUGUGGAAUAACAUAUGAUAUGUUAAAUGAUUAAGAAGAUAUAGCAUGACGCUAUAAAGAGAUUGUACUAUGAAAUGGUACGAUGUAAACUCGAAAAGAGUUAUAGAUGAUGAGAUACGGAUUAAAUAAAAUUCGUAUUGAGUAAAGAGAAAGCUAGAAUUAUGUGGGAUUUCAACUGAGAACUCAUGUGAUAACUAAGUUGUAAAAGCCUUUGUAUGGGCAGGGGUUUUGCGCUUGGUCUAACGACUACUAAAUUUAUCACAGUGAUAAUCACUGAAAUAUUGGUGUCGCGCUAUCGAUAUACAUGUGAAGAGAAGGUGAUUCUUUUCUCAUAUUUAUAUUUGAUAGUUAGAGAAUAUUAAGAUUAGGUACGAGUUCUUAAAACUCAUACUUAUGGUAAGUUUGUGACUCAUAAUUGUAUGAUACAUUUUUGAACCCCUAAGGUUCUAGACAGUUCCUGAUUGGUUCUUGGACUACGUAUUGCUAGGACAAGUUCCUAAACUCGUAUUAUUGUGGUAAGUUCCUGAACUCAUAAUGUGUGAUACGUUUGAUGAACUAUACUGGGAUAUAGAAGAAUUGUUGAUUGAGAGGUUUUUUAGUAUAGUAAGCUUUAAGGAUGCUAGAAAUAGAUAGAAUUAUUAAGUAAUAGAACAUUGGAAAAAUUGAAGUUGAUGGUGGGAGCAUAAGUAUUCCAAAUCUUCUAGCUAUGCUAGACUUCAAAAUUUUUGACAUCAAGCUUAAUUUGCACUGAUGUGCCUUUAAAAAUACAAAUGAAUUUUUGUUAUCAGCAUCAUACGGUGACAAGGGUGUGUAUGUGGACUGUGAGCCACUAACAUCUCGUUAUCUAUUACAACAUGAUAACACUAAAACUGAUUUUCAAUGGUUUUGAACCGUUUAAAGAAGUCUAUGCUAAUUAUUUCGGCUAGAAAAAAAUAAUUUGAAAUAUAUCAAAAUAUAUUUUAUAUAUCAUCAAUGCAUCAUGAAACCUGGUGCAGAGAUGAUAAAAACGAUGGAGUCAUCACUGCAAUAUUACCUAGUGUUGGAUGUGAUCUAAGGAUCGUCAGCCCACUAUGGUAUGAUGUAGUAUGACAAAGUCACAAAAUGGCGAAAAUCCUCAAAUGGACUAUAAAUACAGUGCGGAAUCAUGACGUCAUAAAAUAAUUUUUUGAAUUUUAAACUAGUUAGAGAAAAGUCAAUGCCAAUUAAAGUGGCUAGACAAAUAUUUCGAUUGAUGUUCGAAUUAUUGAUAUGCGUCUAAGUUAUUUGAUUCAGCUAAAUGUUUAUGAAAAUUCAAGUAUUUUUUUGAGAAUUUAUCCCGAAAUAAAUUGUUUUGGUACUGAAUCUUAUGCUAAGUCUGAGGUGAACAACCCUGAUUGGAUAAAAUAAUCCAAUCUAGUAGCGUAAAUAGUCGUUAAACAAGAUUGAUACGUUGUACACGACGUAGGGUACGAUAGGCUGAUCACCUAACGUACUCGUAUCUGUACUAGGCUGAUCACCUAGUACAACAUGUUUACAUAAUUGGUUGUGGUGAAUACUGUUAAGCUUGAGAGUUCAUGGUGUAUAUGACCCCUCAGCAUAAUAUGAAAAGUUUUUAACUUCUUAAAAAGGGUAGCAAUGGUUGAAUGAGAUGAUAGAAGAGAAAUUCUCAGAGGAGGAAAAUAUAAAGGUUAAAUUGAAAACCUAUUUUCGGUGAAUAAAAGAAGCAAAGAAUAGUAUACUGUAAUUUCAGGGACAAAAUUCUUAGAAGAAGGGGUGACAACCCAAAAAUUUAGAGGAUCUUGAAUGAUUAAGUUAAAUGUUAAAGUUUAAAACCUAGAAUGGAAAUAGAUGAAUGAUUUAAAUUUUUUAAGAAGUACCUAUAUGGUUUAAUAUUUGAAAAAGAAUUAAGAAAAUAAGGGUUAUGAAAAUUCAAAACCUAAAAAGAGAUUUUUGUAUGUGAAAAAUUUAUUUAAAGAAAUAAAUUUCAAAUGAAGAGAUAUUAUUAGAUUAAAUUAAAUGUGUAUAUGUAUAGAUACAUAUGUAUAGAUACUUAUUGACUGUAGCAAACUGUAUUAAGAGGGUUACUGGAUAUUAAAUUAAAUGUCUACUCUAAUAUAUGAGUAUAUAAAUCAUUUUAUGAUUUAUGAAUAAUAUGCAUGUUUACAUAAUAUAGUAAAUAUAUUAAAUUAUAUUUGUUAUAUGUAAAUAAAUUGAUAUAAACAGUUUAUAAUGUGAGAAAAUAAAAUUAUUAAUUAUUUUCUAUAUGUGAUGUGUGUAUGUUUGGUGUAACUUGUAAUUGAGAGUUAAUAAAUAUUAUAUAUAUAUAUAUAUUACGCGGGAAAAAUAAAAUUGUGGGGACAAUUUGCGUAAUGAAGCAAAAAGAGGCAGGUUAAGCAUAUAAUAUUAAUAUAUACUUUACCCAAGAGUAUUAGAAUAAAUUCUUAUAUGAAAUUAAUUUAAUCAAGAAAAGAUAUUAUAUCUAUCGGAAUAUCUUAAGGAAAUAAAUAAAUUCUCAAUUGAAUUUAUGAUAAUGAGGUAAGGAUUUUAUAUUAUAAUAUAUUUAGUAUGUAAAUAAUUGUAUUUACAUACGAAAUUAUGUAUAAUAUAUUUAUUUUAUUAUUAUAAAAUAAAUAUGUAAUUUAAGUGUGUUAUGUUAUAUUUUAUAUUAUUUAUAUAUCAUAGAUGAGUUAUAUAAAUUAUAUGAUUUCAUGAGGGUAAGAUAGUUUAAGGAGAUUUAUGUAGUUACUUAUUUGAUUAAAUUAAGUUAUUAAGAUUGGGUAAUUAAAUUACUUAACAAAAGCAGUAAAAGAAUAGUUGAAUUAAUUAUUUAAAGUAAAAAACAAGUGGACUAGAAACCCUAAUUAAAUAUAUAGGGUUAUGUAAACUAAAUGUAUUGGACCCAUAAUAUUUUCAUGGCCCAAACAAGUUAUAAAGAGCCCAAUCAAUAAAUCAAAUGGCCCAAUUUUUAGCCCAAAAGGUGAGGGACUUUUCGGUUAUUUUAUUAAGCAAAUUUAACAAACUAAUAAAAUGUAAAAUUGGGUAAUUACUUGGUAUAAUGUACCGGGCAAAGGGAGAAUUGAGCAUGUGGGAUUAAUUUUUUUUAGCCAAGUGUCCACUAAAUCCUAUCUCUAAAUAUUAUGUUUAGAUUCACAAGAUAUGGAGGAGAUAGGAGAGAGAGAAGGAAGAUUUUUGAUAAAUUUAGAGGAGAUAAGAGAGAGAGAGAAAGAUGCGAUGUUAGGAAAGAUAUGGGGGGGAGAGAGAGCCGUAUGGCUUGGUAGAGGAGGAAGAAAAGUCGCUCACAAUUUCAUACCUUCUUCAUCUUUGAUCAUUCAAUGACCACCAUCUUCAUCUUCUUCCAUUAAAACUCCAAGAAAACUAGUGAGAGAAAGAAGUGGGUUUAGUGAAGGAGGUGGGAUGAGGCUACAGGAGUAUACCAAAGAGAAGAUAAGAGAAUUCUAACAAGUCCUAGCAAGCUUCUAAGCAUCAAGAGGGGAUUUAAGCUCAUCAAGUAAGUCUUAAAACCUUAAACCUUCACAUUUCUUCCAUUUUAAUGGCUUAUCUUUAUUCUUGAGUUGUUGAGUUGUAAAACUUCUUAAGAACAAUUUUCAUAUGAAGCCUUAACAUCAUCCAAGUGUAACCAAAACUCACAAAAUCCGAACCUAUGCGUAAAGGAUGUA